rnacentral:lncRNA from 1 species
GCGAGGAACCGUAGAUCCAGUACAGAUCGAGCUAUGAAUCGAACCAAAAGAUGCAGCGGAAGACAGACAACGGAAGAUAACCCUAGGUUUGUGGUCUGACCGGUGAGAAAGGCUAAGGUUGGGAGUUUUAACCGGUACAAAGAGAGAUCUCACCGAUUGAAUCGGUGGAAUGAAGGAAAUCUCGGACUCAAUCGGUGAA